AUUGAACGCUAGCGGGAUGCUUUACACAUGCAAGUCGAACGAGUGGCGGACGGGUGAGUAAUAUAUCGGCACGUGCCCAGUAGCGGGGGAUAACUACUCGAAAGAGUGGCUAAUACCGCAUACUAUUGUAGCGGCCGAUAUCGGAUUGGCUAGUUGGUGGGGUAAAGGCUCACCAAGGCAAAGAUCCCUAGCUGGUUUGAGCGGACGACCAGCCACAUGUGGACUGAGACACGGCCCGAACUCCUACGGGAGGCAGCAGUGGGGAAUGUUGGACAAUGGGGGAAACCCUGAUCGAGCCAUGCCGCGUGUAUGAGAAGGCCUUCGGGUUGUAAAGUACUGUUGGCAGUGAAGCGGUAUCUGCAGAAUAAGCACCGGCUAACUACGUGCCAGCAGCCGCGGUAAUAC
rnacentral:rRNA from 1 species